UACAGAGGUCUCAAGCGUUUGUUCGGAUUCAUUGGGCGUAAAGGGUGCGUAGGUGGCGCGCUAAGUCGGGUGUGAAAUUUCGGAGCUUAACUCCGAAACUGCAUUCGAUACUGGCGUGCUUGAGGACUGGAGAGGAGACUGGAAUUCAUGGUGUAGCAGUGAAAUGCGUAGAGAUCAUGAGGAAGACCAGUGGCGAAGGCGGGUCUCUGGACAGUUCCUGACACUGAGACACGAAGGCCAGGGGAGCAAACGGG
rnacentral:rRNA from 1 species